UGGGGAUUAUUGCACAAUGGGCGCAAGCCUGAUGCAGCGACGCCGCGUGAGGGAUGGAGGCCUUCGGGUUGUAAACCUCUUUCGCCAGUGAAGCAGGCCAUCUUCUUUGUGGGGUGGUUGACGGUAGCUGGAUAAGAAGCGCCGGCUAACUACGUGCCAGCAGCCGCGGUAAUACGUAGGGCGCGAGCGUUGUCCGGAAUUAUUGGGCGUAAAGAGCUCGUAGGCGGCUGGUCGCGUCUGUCGUGAAAUCCCCUGGCUUAACUGGGGGCUUGCGGUGGGUACGGGCCGGCUUGAGUGCGGUAGGGGAGACUGGAAUUCCUGGUGUAGCGGUGGAAUGCGCAGAUAUCAGGAGGAACACCGGUGGCGAAGGCGGGUCUCUGGGCCGUUACUGACGCUGAGGAGCGAAAGCGUGGGGAGCGAACAGG
rnacentral:rRNA from 1 species